rnacentral:rRNA from 1 species
GAUGAACGCUGGCGGCGUGCCUAAUACAUGCAAGUCGAGCGAACAGAUAAGGAGCUUGCUCCUUUGACGUUAGCGGCGGACGGGUGAGUAACACGUGGGUAACCUACCUAUAAGACUGGGAUAACUUCGGGAAACCGGAGCUAAUACCGGAUAAUAUUUCGAACCGCAUGGUUCGGUAGUGAAAGAUGGUUUUGCUAUCACUUAUAGAUGGACCCGCGCCGUAUUAGCUAGUUGGUAAGGUAACGGCUUACCAAGGCGACGAUACGUAGCCGACCUGAGAGGGUGAUCGGCCACACUGGAACUGAGACACGGUCCAGACUCCUACGGGAGGCAGCAGUAGGGAAUCUUCCGCAAUGGGCGAAAGCCUGACGGAGCAACGCCGCGUGAGUGAUGAAGGUCUUCGGAUCGUAAAACUCUGUUAUUAGGGAAGAACAUACGUGUAAGUAACUGUGCACGUCUUGACGGUACCCAAUCAGAAAGCCACGGCUAACUACGUG